CCUACGGGUGGCUGCAGUGAGGAAUAUUGGUCAAUGGGCGGAAGCCUGAACCAGCCAAGUCGCGUGAGGGAUUAAGGCCCUAUGGGUCGUAAACCUCUUUUGUCAGGGAGCAAGGUCGUCCACGUGUGGGCGUAUGGAGAGUACCUGAAGAAAAAGCAUCGGCUAACUCCGUGCCAGCAGCCGCGGUAAUACGGAGGAUGCGAGCGUUAUCCGGAUUCAUUGGGCUUAAAGGGAGCGUAGGCGGGCGUUCAAGUCAGCUGUAAAAUCGCGCGGCUCAACCGCGCCCCGCAGUUGAAACUGGACGCCUUGAGUUCACAACAGGCAGGCGGAAUUCGUGGUGUAGCGGUGAAAUGCAUAGAUAUCACGAGGAACCCCGAUUGCGAAGGCAGCCUGCCGGGGUGCGACUGACGCUGAGGCUCGAAGGUGCGGGUAUCAAACAGGAUUAGAUACCCUUGUAGUC
rnacentral:rRNA from 1 species